CGUGAUUUGGGCUAUAUUACGGACCCAAAAUUACUUUUUCAAGCAUUGUUUUCGAAUAUUUUUCAUGCAUCAAAGCUCGUUAAGACUAGAUGGGGUAUCCCUACAUGGCGGGUGGGACCCACGGCGAACGGUUCAUCAAGACUUAAAAAAAGAAUAGAUACGAUUGCAUUGCAUAUACUAACGGAUGCGAUCAUACCAGCACUAAUGCACCGGAUCCCAUCAGAACUCCGCAGUUAAGCGUGCUUGGGCGAGAGUAGUACUAGGAUGGGUGAUCUCCCGGGAAGUCCUCGUGUUGCAUCCCUCUUUUUUUUUUUUUUUUUUUGGUUAAAACUUUAUGACUCUAUAACUUCUAUACCGUGAGGCCAAACUUGGCAUGUGAUACCUUUUCGGAAAGCCCAAAGAGAGCCCUCCGACGAAAGAAGCAAGACAAUGGAACAUUUCCAUUGACUUUUUGUCGACUCCAAUUUUGACCUUACCUACUUUUCGGGAAUCACUA
rnacentral:rRNA from 1 species